UGAAUACGAGACGCUAAGGCGUCGAAGUAGUGUAUGUCAUACUUCCAAGAAAAGCUUGCACUGUCAUAGAUAAAAAACGCCUGUACCAUAACCGACACAGGUGGGUAGGUAGAGUAUACUAAGGGGCGCGAGAUAACUCUCUCUAAGGAACUCGGCAAAAUAACUCCGUAACUUCGGGAGAAGGAGUGCCUUAUUCGUAAGGUUGCAAUAACAAGAUCCAAGCAACUGUUUAUCAAAAACACAGGUCUCCGCUAAGUCGUAAGACGAUGUAUGGGGGCUGACGCCUGCCCAGUGCCAGAAGGUUAAAGAAGUUGGUUAGCAAUUGCGAAGCUGAUAACUGAAGCCCCGGUGAACGGCGGCCGUAACAAUAACGGUCCUAAGGUAGCGAAAUUCCUUGUCGGGUAAGUUCCGACCCGCACGAAAGGCGUAAUGAUUUGGAUACUGUCUCGGAGAGGGGCUCGGUGAAAUAGACUUGUCUGUGAAGAUGCGGACUACCUGCACCAGGACAGAAAGACCCUAUGAAGCUUUACUGUAACUUGAAAUUGAAAUUGGACUUUAUUCGCGCAGUAUAGGUGGGAGGCGUUGAUUAUAAUCUUGUGGGAUUAUUGGAGCCAUCAGUGAGAUACCACUCUUGUAAUGUUAGAUUUCUAACUUUGAAUCAUUAUCUGGUCAAAGAACAGUUUCAGGCGGGCAGUUUGACUGGGGCGGUCGCCUCCCAAACGGUAACGGAGGCGUACAAAGGUUUCCUCUGAACGGUUAGAAAUCGUAUCUAGAGUGUAAAGGCAUAAGGAAGCUUGACUGUGAGACCUACAAGUCGAGCAGGGACGAAAGUCGGUCUUAGUGAUCUGACGGUACUGAGUGGAAAGGCCGUCACUCAACGGAUAAAAGUUACUCUAGGAUAACAGGCUGAUCUCCCCCAAGAGUUCACAUCGACGGGGAGGUUUGGCACCUCGACGUCGGCUCAUCGCAUCCUGGGGCGGUAGUACGUCCCAAGGGUUGGGCUGUUCGCCCAUGAAAGCGGUACGCGAGCUGGGUUCAGAACGUCGUGAGACAGUUCGGUCCAUAUCCGGUGUAGGCGUUAGAAUAUUGAGAGGAGCCUUCUUUAGUACGAGAGGACCGAGAAGGACAUACCUCUGGUGUACCAGUUAUCGUGCCAACGGUAAACGCUGGGUAGCUAUGUAUGGAGUGGAUAACCGCUGAAAGCAUCUAAGUGGGAAGCCCACCUCAAGAUAAGUAUUCUCAU
rnacentral:rRNA from 1 species